AGAGUUUGAUCAUGGCUCAGAGCGAACGCUGGCGGCAGGCCUAACACAUGCAAGUCGAACGGCUCUUCGGAGCAGUGGCGGACGGGUGAGUAACGCGUGGGAAUGUGCCCUUUGGUACGGAACAACUGAGGGAAACUUCAGCUAAUACCGUAUGUGCCCUUCGGGGGAAAGAUUUAUCGCCAUAGGAGCAGCCCGCGUUGGAUUAGCUAGUUGGUGGGGUAAAGGCCCACCAAGGCUACGAUCCAUAGCUGGUCUGAGAGAAUGAUCAGCCACACUGGGACUGAGACACGGCCCAGACUCCUACGGGAGGCAGCAGUGGGGAAUCUUGCGCAAUGGGCGAAAGCCUGACGCAGCCAUGCCGCGUGUAUGAUGAAGGUCUUAGGAUUGUAAAAUACUUUCACCGGGGAAGAUAAUGACGGUACCCGGAGAAGAAGCCCCGGCUAACUUCGUGCCAGCAGCCGCGGUA
rnacentral:rRNA from 1 species